GUUAAGCGACUAAGCGUACACGGUGGAUGCCCUGGCAGUCAGAGGCGAUGAAGGACGUGCUAAUCUGCGAUAAGCGUCGGUGAGGUGAUAUGAACCGUUAUAACCGGCGAUUUCCGAAUGGGGAAACCCAGUGUGUUUCGACACACUAUCAUUAACUGAAUCCAUAGGUUAAUGAGGCGAACCGGGGGAACUGAAACAUCUAAGUACCCCGAGGAAAAGAAAUCAACCGAGAUUCCCCCAGUAGCGGCGAGCGAACGGGGAGGAGCCCAGAGCCUGAAUCAGUGUGUGUGUUAGUGGAAGCGUCUGGAAAGGCGUGCGAUACAGGGUGACAGCCCCGUACACAAAAAUGCACAUAUUGUGAGCUCGAUGAGUAGGGCGGGACACGUGGUAUCCUGUCUGAAUAUGGGGGGACCAUCCUCCAAGGCUAAAUACUCCUGACUGACCGAUAGUGAACCAGUACCGUGAGGGAAAGGCGAAAAGAACCCCGGCGAGGGGAGUGAAAAAGAACCUGAAACCGUGUACGUACAAGCAGUGGGAGCCUCUUUAUGGGGUGACUGCGUACCUUUUGUAUAAUGGGUCAGCGACUUAUAUUCUGUAGCAAGGUUAACCGAAUAGGGGAGCCGAAGGGAAACCGAGUCUUAACUGGGCGUUAAGUUGCAGGGUAUAGACCCGAAACCCGGUGAUCUAGCCAUGGGCAGGUUGAAGGUUGGGUAACACUAACUGGAGGACCGAACCGACUAAUGUUGAAAAAUUAGCGGAUGACUUGUGGCUGGGGGUGAAAGGCCAAUCAAACCGGGAGAUAGCUGGUUCUCCCCGAAAGCUAUUUAGGUAGCGCCUCGUGAAUUCAUCUCCGGGGGUAGAGCACUGUUUCGGCAAGGGGGUCAUCCCGACUUACCAACCCGAUGCAAACUGCGAAUACCGGAGAAUGUUAUCACGGGAGACACACGGCGGGUGCUAACGUCCGUCGUGAAGAGGGAAACAACCCAGACCGCCAGCUAAGGUCCCAAAGUCAUGGUUAAGUGGGAAACGAUGUGGGAAGGCCCAGACAGCCAGGAUGUUGGCUUAGAAGCAGCCAUCAUUUAAAGAAAGCGUAAUAGCUCACUGGUCGAGUCGGCCUGCGCGGAAGAUGUAACGGGGCUAAACCAUGCACCGAAGCUGCGGCAGCGACACUAUGUGUUGUUGGGUAGGGGAGCGUUCUGUAAGCCUGUGAAGGUGGCCUGUGAGGGUUGCUGGAGGUAUCAGAAGUGCGAAUGCUGACAUAAGUAACGAUAAAGCGGGUGAAAAGCCCGCUCGCCGGAAGACCAAGGGUUCCUGUCCAACGUUA
rnacentral:rRNA from 1 species